rnacentral:misc_RNA from 1 species
CCGAGUGAGGGUCCCACGAGGCCCAACCUCCCAUCCGUGUUGAACUACACCUGUUGCUUCGGCGGGCCCGCCGUGGUUCACGCCCGGCCGCCGGGGGGCCUUGUGCUCCCGGGCCCGCGCCCGCCGAAGACCCCUCGAACGCUGCCCUGAAGGUUGCCGUCUGAGUAUAAAAUCAAUCAUUA